AGACCCGAAACCCGGUGAUCUAGCCAUGGGCAGGUUGAAGGUUGGGUAACACUAACUGGAGGACCGAACCGACUAAUGUUGAAAAAUUAGCGGAUGACCUGUGGCUGGGGGUGAAAGGCCAAUCAAACCGGGAGAUAGCUGGUUCUCCCCGAAAGCUAUUUAGGUAGCGCCUCGUGAAUUCAUCUCCGGGGGUAGAGCACUGUUUCGGCUAGGGGGUCAUCCCGACUUACCAACCCGAUGCAAACUGCGAAUACCGGAGAAUGUUAUCACGGGAGACACACGGCGGGUGCUAACGUCCGUCGUGAAGAGGGAAACAACCCAGACCGCCAGCUAAGGUCCCAAAGUCAUGGUUAAGUGGGAAACGAUGUGGGAAGGCCCAGACAGCCAGGAUGUUGGCUUAGAAGCAGCCAUCAUUUAAAGAAAGCGUAAUAGCUCACUGGUCGAGUCGGCCUGCGCGGAAGAUGUAACGGGGCUAAACCAUGCACCGAAGCUGCGGCAGCGACACUGUGUGUUGUUGGGUAGGGGAGCGUUCUGUAAGCCUGUGAAGGUGGCCUGUGAGGGUUGCUGGAGGUAUCAGAAGUGCGAAUGCUGACAUAAGUAACGAUAAAGCGGGUGAAAAGCCCGCUCGCCGGAAGACCAAGGGUUCCUGUCCAACGUUAAUCGGGGCAGGGUGAGUCGACCCCUAAGGCGAGGCCGAAAGGCGUAGUCGAUGGGAAACGGGUUAAUAUUCCCGUACUUGGUGUUACUGCGAAGGGGGGACGGAGAAGGCUAUGUUGGCCGGGCGACGGUUGUCCCGGUUUAAGCGUGUAGGUGUGUGUUCCAGGUAAAUCCGGUUCACUUUAACACUGAGGCGUGACGACGAGGCACUACGGUGCUGAAGCAACAAAUGCCCUGCUUCCAGGAAAAGCCUCUAAGCAUCAGGUAACAUCAAAUCGUACCCCAAACCGACACAGGUGGUCAGGUAGAGAAUACCAAGGCGCUUGAGAGAACUCGGGUGAAGGAACUAGGCAAAAUGGUGCCGUAACUUCGGGAGAAGGCACGCUGACACGUAGGUGAAGUGAUUUACUCACGGAGCUGAAGUCAGUCGAAGAUACCAGCUGGCUGCAACUGUUUAUUAAAAACACAGCACUGUGCAAACACGAAAGUGGACGUAUACGGUGUGACGCCUGCCCGGUGCCGGAAGGUUAAUUGAUGGGGUCAGCGCAAGCGAAGCUCCUGAUCGAAGCCCCGGUAAACGGCGGCCGUAACUAUAACGGUCCUAAGGUAGCGAAAUUCCUUGUCGGGUAAGUUCCGACCUGCACGAAUGGCGUAAUGAUGGCCAGGCUGUCUCCACCCGAGACUCAGUGAAAUUGAACUCGCUGUGAAGAUGCAGUGUACCCGCGGCAAGACGGAAAGACCCCGUGAACCUUUACUAUAGCUUGACACUGAACAUUGAGCCUUGAUGUGUAGGAUAGGUGGGAGGCUUUGAAGCGUGGACGCCAGUCUGCGUGGAGCCGACCUUGAAAUACCACCCUUUAAUGUUUGAUGUUCUAACGUGGACCCGUGAUCCGGGUUGCGGACAGUGUCUGGUGGGUAGUUUGACUGGGGCGGUCUCCUCCUAAAGAGUAACGGAGGAGCACGAAGGUUGGCUAAUCCUGGUCGGACAUCAGGAGGUUAGUGCAAUGGCAUAAGCCAGCUUGACUGCGAGCGUGACGGC
rnacentral:rRNA from 1 species